AGAACGAACGCUGGCGGCAGGCUUAACACAUGCAAGUCGAACGCCCCGCAAGGGGAGUGGCAGACGGGUGAGUAACACGUGGGAACGUCCCCCUCGGUUCGGAAUAACUCAGGGAAACUUGAGCUAAUACCGGAUACGUCCGAGAGGAGAAAGAUUUAUCGCCGAGGGAUCGGCCCGCGUCUGAUUAGCUAGUUGGUAGGGUAACGGCCUACCAAGGCGACGAUCAGUAGCUGGUCUGAGAGGAUGACCAGCCACACUGGGACUGAGACACGGCCCAGACUCCUACGGGAGGCAGCAGUGGGGAAUCUUGGACAAUGGGCGCAAGCCUGAUCCAGCCAUGCCGCGUGAGUGAUGAAGGCCUUAGGGUUGUAAAGCUCUUUCGACGGGGACGAUAAUGACGGUACCCGUAGAAGAAGCCCGGCUAACUUCGCGCCAGCAGCCGC
rnacentral:rRNA from 1 species